CGAACGGAAAGGCCCUUCGGGGUGCUCGAGUGGCGAACGGGUGAGUAACACGUGGGUGAUCUGCCCUGCACUUUGGGAUAAGCCUGGGAAACUGGGUCUAAUACCGAAUACUCCCUACUGGUUGCAUGGCCUGGUAGGGGAAAGCUUUUGCGGUGUGGGAUGGGCCCGCGGCCUAUCAGCUUGUUGGUGGGGUGAUGGCCUACCAAGGCGACGACGGGUAGCCGGCCUGAGAGGGUGUCCGGCCACACUGGGACUGAGAUACGGCCCAGACUCCUACGGGAGGCAGCAGUGGGGAAUAUUGCACAAUGGGCGCAAGCCUGAUGCAGCGACGCCGCGUGAGGGAUGACGGCCUUCGGGUUGUAAACCUCUUUCAGUAGGGACGAAGCGCAAGUGACGGUACCUACAGAAGAAGCACCGGCCAACUACGUGCCAGCAGCCGCGGUAAUACGUAGGGUGCGAGCGUUGUCCGGAAUUACUGGGCGUAAAGAGCUCGUAGGUGGUUUGUCGCGUUGUCCGUGAAAACUCACAGCUUAACUGUGGGCGUGCGGGCGAUACGGGCAGACUGGAGUACUGCAGGGGAGACUGGAAUUCCUGGUGUAGCGGUGGAAUGCGCAGAUAUCAGGAGGAACACCGGUGGCGAAGGCGGGUCUCUGGGCAGUAACUGACGCUGAGGAGCGAAAGCGUGGGGAGCGAACAGGAUUAGAUACCCUGGUAGUCCACGCCGUAAACGGUGGGUACUAGGUGUGGGUUUCCUUCCUUGGGAUCCGUGCCGUAGCUAACGCAUUAAGUACCCCGCCUGGGGAGUAC
rnacentral:rRNA from 1 species